GAAUGACAUGCAAAGGCUAUUUGAACCACAUAUCAACAAUUUUCUGACCAUGACCAAGUGAUGAAUAUGAUACAAGUCUACCUCAUGAAAGCCACACUACUUUUCAAAGAAAAAUAUUUUCUUUGGAGUUGUAGAUAUUAUAGUGAAAACUUAAUCCUGACUUCUGUUCUGCAUAAAUGAGAAUCGCACUAUGCCAGGUAACAUAAUAUAGCGAGUACCCUGGUUGAGUCAAGAUAAUAUAAAAUAAGUGGAAAGAUAAUGUGGCCCAAGUAGUAAAGGAAAGGAUGUGCAAACAGCCGAAUGUGAAUCUGGCAAUAAUGUGCCUGUUUAAAUGAGUUUUAGUUGAGUACCAAAUAGUUACCUAGGUUUUCCUGGGAAAAACACUGAUCCAGCUUUUCUGAUUCAACUGAGUUUGUGUAUGGUUUUGAAUAAAUAACUAAACAAUAGAAA